rnacentral:ncRNA from 1 species
GAAAGGCCGUAUUCGUCUUAUACGGCUGGAUGCGACAGAAAGCAUCCCAUUCAAG